rnacentral:tRNA from 1 species
AGUCUAGUGCUUAGGAUUCAGCACUUUCACUGCUGGGACCCAGGUUCAAUCCCUGG